rnacentral:rRNA from 1 species
UACAGAGGGGGCGAGCGUUGUUCGGAAUUACGGGGCGUAAAGGGUGCGUAGGCGGCGCGGUAAGUCGGGGGUGAAAUCUCGGAGCUUAACUCCGAAACUGCAUUCGAUACUGCCGUGCUUGAGGACUGGAGAGGAGACUGGAAUUUACGGUGUAGCGGUGAAAUGCGUAGAUAUCGUAAGGAAGACCAGUGGCGAAGGCGGGUCUCUGGACAGUUCCUGACGCUGAGGCGCGAAGGCCAGGGGAGCAAACGGG